GACGAACGCUGGCGGCGUGCUUAACACAUGCAAGUCGAACGGAAAGGCCCUGCUUUUGUGGGGUGCUCGAGUGGCGAACGGGUGGGUAACACGUGAGUAACCUGCCCUUGACUUUGGGAUAACUUCAGGAAACUGGGGCUAAUACCGGAUAGGAGCUCCUGCUGCAUGGUGGGGGUUGGAAAGUUUCGGCGGUUGGGGAUGGACUCGCGGCUUAUCAGCUUGUUGGUGGGGUAGUGGCUUACCAAGGCUUUGACGGGUAGCCGGCCUGAGAGGGUGACCGGCCACAUUGGGACUGAGAUACGGCCCAGACUCCUACGGGAGGCAGCAGUGGGGAAUAUUGCACAAUGGGCGGAAGCCUGAUGCAGCAACGCCGCGUGCGGGAUGACGGCCUUCGGGUUGUAAACCGCUUUCGCCUGUGACGAAGCGUGAGUGACGGUAAUGGGUAAAGAAGCACCGGCUAACUACGUGCCAGCAGCCGCGGUGAUACGUAGGGUGCGAGCGUUGUCCGGAUUUAUUGGGCGUAAAGGGCUCGUAGGUGGUUGAUCGCGUCGGAAGUGUAAUCUUGGGGCUUAACCCUGAGCGUGCUUUCGAUACGGGUUGACUUGAGGAAGGUAGGGGGGAAUGGAAUUCCUGGUGGAGCGGUGGAAUGCGCAGAUAUCAGGAGGAACACCAGUGGCGAAGGCGGUUCUCUGGGCCUUUCCUGACGCUGAGGAGCGAAAGCGUGGGGAGCGAACAGGCUUAGAUACCCUGGUAGUCCACGCUGUAAACGGUGGGUACUAGGUGUGGGGUCCAUUCCACGGGUUCCGUGCCGUAGCUAACGCUUUAAGUACCCCGCCUGGGGAGUACGGCCGCAAGGCUAAAACUCAAAGGAAUUGACGGGGCCCCGCACAAGCGGCGGAGCAUGCGGAUUAAUUCGAUGCAACGCGUAGAACCUUACCUGGGUUUGACAUGGAUCGGGAGUGCUCAGAGAUGGGUGUGCCUCUUUUGGGGUCGGUUCACAGGUGGUGCAUGGCUGUCGUCAGCUCGUGUCGUGAGAUGUUGGGUUAAGUCCCGCAACGAGCGCAACCCUUGUUCACUGUUGCCAGCACGUUAUGGUGGGGACUCAGUGGAGACCGCCGGGGUCAACUCGGAGGAAGGUGGGGAUGACGUCAAGUCAUCAUGCCCCUUAUGUCCAGGGCUUCACGCAUGCUACAAUGGCUGGUACAGAGAGUGGCGAGCCUGUGAGGGUGAGCGAAUCUCGGAAAGCCGGUCUCAGUUCGGAUUGGGGUCUGCAACUCGACCUCAUGAAGUCGGAGUCGCUAGUAAUCGCAGAUCAGCAACGCUGCGGUGAAUACGUUCCCGGG
rnacentral:rRNA from 1 species